rnacentral:rRNA from 1 species
AGGCAGCAGUAGGGAAUCUUCCGCAAUGGGCGAAAGCCUGAUGGAGCAACGCCGCGUGGGUGAAGAAGGUCUUCGGAUCGUAAAACCCUGUUGUUAGAGAAGAAAGUGCGUGAGAGUAACUGUUCACGUUUCGACGGUAUCUAACCAGAAAGCCACGGCUAACUACGUGCCAGCAGCCGCGGUAAUACGUAGGUGGCAAGCGUUAUCCGGAUUUAUUGGGCGUAAAGGGAACGCAGGCGGUCUUUUAAGUCUGAUGUGAAAGCCUUCGGCUUAACCGGAGUAGUGCAUUGGAAACUGGGAGACUUGAGUGCAGAAGAGGAGAGUGGAACUCCAUGUGUAGCGGUGAAAUGCGUAGAUAUAUGGAAGAACACCAGUGGCGAAAGCGGCUCUCUGGUCUGUAACUGACGCUGAGGUUCGAAAGCGUGGGUAGCAAACAGGAUUAGAUACCCUGGUA